rnacentral:rRNA from 1 species
GAUGAACGCUGGCGGCGUGCUUAACACAUGCAAGUCGAACGAAGCACUCUAUUUGAUUUUCUUCGGAGAUGAAGAUUUUGUGACUGAGUGGCGGACGGGUGAGUAACGCGUGGGUAACCUGCCUCAUACAGGGGGAUAACAGUUGGAAACGACUGCUAAUACCGCAUAAGCGCACGGUACCGCAUGGUACCGUGUGAAAAACUCCGGUGGUAUGAGAUGGACCCGCGUCUGAUUAGCUAGUUGGUGGGGUAACAGCCUACCAAGGCGACGAUCAGUAGCCGACCUGAGAGGGUGACCGGCCACAUUGGGACUGAGACACGGCCCAAACUCCUACGGGAGGCAGCAGUGGGGAAUAUUGCACAAUGGGGGAAACCCUGAUGCAGCGACGCCGCGUGAACGAAGAAGUAUUUCGGUAUGUAAAGUUCUAUCAGCAGGGAAGAUAAUGACGGUACCUGACUAAGAAGC